AUGAGUGCUCAGGCCAUGCUUCUUUGUGAAGUAUUGCCAGUUAACCUGUCGUACCAAGCGUUGUUCCUAGUGAUUUUCUUGACUGCAUUCCUGUGUAUGAUCCUGCCUGCCUUAACCACAUUUUCAUCUUUUUUCUCCUAAAUAUCUUGGAACCACUUGAGGAUGAGUAAAAAGGACAGACGGGUUUCCUCAGUCUUCCCGAUCCGCUCAGAACUGGACCCUGGCGGUUGCUAGAACCUGCCGGUGUGUCUUCAGCGUCGCCAUGGAAACGUCUCCCUCACCGUAAUCACGACCCAUCACGUGCUGAUCAGGGACAGCUGCAGCCCAUUGGAAGAGGGGUAUUUAACAGACACUGUCGACAUCGACAAGGAGAGCAUGACUAGGAUGACAGCAGGAACCACGCUGACAUCUCCCUGUUCCACUGGGCACCCUGACCGGCACUUCACUGCACGAGCUCACCGGACCCCUUUGGACACGGAACUCACCGCCCUGCACAUCCCCACGCACCUUUUCCCUGCUCCACUCCCUGAA